AAGGUUUCAGGUUUUGUUUGGAAAAAGCCAGACUGCAUGACGUCCCUCAGUACUGAAUCUCCAAAGGCUCUUCCUUUUCAGUCUGUGUGACCCCCGACUCAGACCAUGUGUGGCAGCUCCCAACAGCAGGCACUGCAGAUGUCCCAGCAGAGAUGGAGACCCCCACUGGGAGAGGAGACCUGCUUCCAAGCUGUGAGGAGCCAGCUGCCAAAACUUACAGAUGUCCUUCCAAGUGUCAAUGUUGCAAAUCAGAAAAAAAAAAAGUCCAUGGGUAUGCAUGACUCCAGCCAGGAGGGCAGUGUGGCCAGCAGAUAUGUGGAUUCUUAGUGACAGAAGGAUAAUAAAAGUACUGGACUUGAUAGAAAGAGGAA